rnacentral:misc_RNA from 1 species
GUGCGAUAAGUAGUGUGAAUUGCAGAAUUCCGUGAAUCAUCGAAUCUUUGAACGCAAAUUGCACUCUCCGGUAUUCCGGAGAGUAUGCCUGUUUGAGGGUCGGUUUAAAUAAUUAAUCGGUAUGUCGUUUUCUGCGGCAUGUCGGAAUUGGAUCUUUCUUAACCUUUUUUGGUUAAGUGAUCUAAAAUUUUAUAUUUAAUUAUACUUCAGUAUGAUUACGUACAUAGUAAUAUUUGUCGUUUGAAUACUUGAAGGUAACCUAUUAGGCGUGACCAUUCCAACGGUUUUCGCGUCUAUAAUUUUUCGAAUUUCGACCUCAAAUCAAGUAAGAGUACCCGCUGAACUUAA